GGCUUUGUAGUGGAUUAUAAGACGCUAGACUGCAAUUCUGGAAAUGUAAUUAAUUAUUACCUUAGCUU
rnacentral:tRNA from 1 species